rnacentral:rRNA from 1 species
UACGUAGGCAGCGAGCGUUGUUCGGAGUUACUGGGCGUAAAGAGUGCGUAGGCGGCUCUCCAAGUUUGGUGUGAAAUCUCCCGGCUUAACCGGGAGGGUGCGCCGAAAACUGGAGGGCUCGAGUGUGGGAGAGGCAAGCGGAAUUCCUGGUGUAGCGGUGAAAUGCGUAGGUAUCAGGAGGAACACCGGUGGUGUAGACGGCUUGCUGGACCACUACUGACGCUGAGGCACGAAAGCGUGGGUAGCAAACAGG